rnacentral:lncRNA from 1 species
ACAUGAAAAAAUGCCUUCCUACUCAUCAUGGAUUAAAGCUAUUUUCAUCAUGCUCCUAGCCUUUCUUCUUUAUUCUGAAACUUCCCUUCUGUUUAAACAAGGUAAAAAGCGAAAGCCAGAUUGUAUUUUAUACACAUUUAAAUCAAAUCCUAUUUGCACCAGUGAACUUGAUCCAGUCUGUGCAAGCAAUGGCCGAACUUACCGGAAUAAAUGUGUUUUCUGCAGUGAAAAAAUAAUUUUGGGUGAAAAAAUUAAAUUUGUUCGUUACGGGUUUUGCUGAAUUUUGAUGGAGCUAUGCAUCCUCUGGGCUGUGAUGUGAUCCUGGUUUACCGUGGAUUCUACAGCUAGAAUGACUACAGUCUUUUUCAAUCAGAGUCUUGAAUUCAUAGACGUCCACAGAACUCCUUUUUGUAGGAGGACAAGAUGGAACAUAGCAUGGGGAAAGAUUCAUUUCCACCUCUAAGAUUUUGUGAUUUUUAAG